GAUGAACGCUAGCGGCAGGCCUAAUACAUGCAAGUCUAAAGGGCAGCAAUGUCCUUGGCGCACGGGUGCGUAACACGUAUGCAACCUGCCCUCAACUGGGGGAUAACCUUCCGACAGGGAGGCUAAUACCGCAUGACACAGAGUCCCUGCAUGGGGGUUUUGUCAAAGCUGCGGCGGUUGAGGAUGGGCAUGCGGACGCUUAGUUAGUUGGCGGGGUAACGGCCCACCAAGGCUACGAUCGUUAGGGGAACUGAGAGGUUGGUCCCCCAUACUGGCACGGAGAUACGGGCCAGAGGCCGACAGGAGGCAGCAGUAGGGAAUAUUGGUCAAUGGGCGGAAGCCUGAGCCAGCCAUGCCGCGUGCAGGAAGAAGGCCCUCGGGGUUGUAAACUGCUUUUGACGGGGAACAAGUCGGCCAUGCGUGGCUAAGUGAGUGUACCCGUAGAAUAAGCCACGGCUAACUACGUGCCAGCCGCCGCCGUAA
rnacentral:rRNA from 1 species